GAGGGUAUAGCUCAGUGGUAGAGUGCAUGCUUAGCAUGCACAGGGUCCUGGGUUCAAUCCCCAGUACCUCCU
rnacentral:tRNA from 1 species